UCUGUUUUAUUAUAUUUACUAUUAUUUGAGCUUUUCGUGCUCAGGAAAGUCUAUUUGACUAAACAGAU
rnacentral:tRNA from 1 species